CAACAAGGAAGGAAAUAGGGAUCGACAGAGGAGAAGAACAAAGAAAACAAAAACACAAAAACACAAAAAACACAAAAAAAAACGAAAAAAAGAGGAGAAGAGAAGCGAAAAGGCGAAGCUGUCUUUCUUCUCUUCUUUUCUUUUCUUACUAUCAAAUCUUUCUUUGUUUUCCUCCAUCUUAACAUCACAAAAUAAGUGAAGUUACUAUAAAUUUUUAAUAAGGCAGUCCCUUUUAAUUCCAACAUUUGCUGCUGCUAGGUGUCAAUCAUGACUUCGAGCAAGUUUAGAAGAGCCUUGGGGGCGGUGAAGGACCAGACGAGUAUAGGCCUAGCUAAAGUUGGUAGCAGCACAUCUCUGGCGGACCUAGACGUGGCCAUUGUGAAAGCAUCGAGGCACGAAGAGUACCCGACAGAGGAGAAAUACAUACGAGAGAUUCUGAGCUUGACAUGCUACUCGCGCGCCUACAUCAGCGCCUGCGUCAACACCAUCUCCAGGCGUCUCAACAAGACCAAGAACUGGAUCGUUGCCCUCAAAACCUUAAUGUUGGUCCAACGGCUGCUGUCCGAGGGCGACCCGGCUUAUGAACAGGAAAUAUUUUUCUCCACAAGGCGCGGCACUCGCUUCCUCAACAUGUCCGAUUUUCGGGACGCUUCCACGUCCAAUUCGUGGGACUACUCUGCGUUUGUGCGCACGUACGCCUUGUAUCUGGAUGAACGGCUUGAGUUCCGAAUGCAAAGCCGGCGCGGGAAACGUAGUGCCUUUGGAAUCGACGAAGAAGAGGAUCCUCAGGAGCCGCCCCAUAAUUAUGCUAACCAGCAGUCAUGUCCCAGAGCCACGCCUGUGCAUGAGAUGAAAGCUGAGAAGCUUUUUUCUAGGAUGCAGCAUGUGCAGCAGCUCCUUGAGCGCUUCUUAGCAUGUCGCCCAACAGGUGAAGCAAAGACCAACAGGGUAGUAAUAGUGGCGCUGUUCCCAAUAGUUAAAGAAAGCUUCCAGAUAUAUUAUGACAUAACAGAACUAAUGGGCGUCUUAAUCGAUCGCUUCAUGGAGCUGGAGAUCCACGACUGUGCCAAGGUGUUCGAGAUAUUCUGCCGCAUCGGAAAGGAGUUUGAUGAGCUGGACACAUUCUACAGCUGGUGCAAAACCAUUGGCAUUGCUCGCUCCUCAGAGUAUCCCGAGGUUGAGAAGAUUACACCCAAGAAACUGGAGGUGAUGGAGGAGUACAUACGCGACAAGUCAGCCUUGGCGCAGGGCAGGAAGUCGGUCAAGGCGCUGCUGGAGCAACAGAAGAUUGAGGAGAUAGAUCAAGAAACUAAUCGGGACGACGAUGAAGAAGAAGAAGAUAUGAAUGCCAUGAAGGCCUUGCCACCACCUGAAAGUUUUGUUGAGGAAAGCAAUAACAAGGAAAUAGAGCCGGUAAAGGAAGAAGAAACUAGGAAACCGCAACAAGAAGAAGGGGACCUGUUGAACUUGGGAGACGACGCUGUGUCGAGCGAAGAGCAUGCUGACAAAUUGGCGUUGGCUUUGUUCAAUGGCGCUACUGCAGAGGCAAAAACACGCCUUCCAGCAUGGGAAGCCUUUGCUGAUGAAGCUGAUUGGGAGACGGCGUUGGUCCAGUCGGCCAGUCACUUGUCCCAUCAGAAGGCGUCCCUCGGAGGCGGCUUUGACGUUUUGUUGUUGGAUGGAAUGUACCAGCAAGCUGAGAUAUCAGCGGCGAUGGCUGGCCCAGGAUCUGGAGUGAGUGGAAGUGCGAGUAGUGUUGCAUUGGGGUCAGCAGGACGGCCUGCAAUGCUAGCAUUGCCUGCACCACCAUCAUCAUCAGAUCAUCAUGAGUCUAGUAAAUCAAACGUACACGUGGACCCGUUUGCUGCCUCGUUGGUGGUGCCGCCGCCUUCAUACGUGCAAAUGUCGGACCUGGAGAAGAAGCAGAAGCUGUUGGUGGAAGAACAGUUCAUGUGGCAGCAGUAUGCAAGAGAUGGGAUGCAAGGGCAGCUUGGAUUGACAAAGCUACAACAUAAUCCUCACAACAUCAACAUGGGAGGUGAGGUUCAGUUCGGUAGCAUUUUAUGCUGGUAGGGCAAGUGAAAUAUGCAAAGGAUUAAGGUAAUCCAUGUAUCAUCGAAGUAUGAAAAAGGCAGACAUCUGAAGGCAAUCGGAGAAGGGGGAAACUUGUCAACCACCUGUGUUAACAAAUCAGGCAGGUGGCAUGAAAAUCCUAGCCGGACACUUGCAAAGUAUUGUCGAUGCGAAUCAGCAUAUUUCUUGGGACCCAAGAAUUCACAUACGCUUAUCUUUGAAGCCCUACCUACGAGUUCCAAACUCAAUUGAUAGUCCACCUGUAGUCAUUUCAAUAUCAUCGAAAGUGUUGCUCUUGCUUCUGAUCUAAUCAUCUUGGCGAGCAAAGAUCAAGGUCACCAAAAUAUGUUGACAUUAUGAAUUCCGCAUCGGAAAUUAAAUAGUCCAACUUGAAGCGUUGUGUAAUAGUUUAACAAAAACGAA